AUCUAACUUUCUAUUCACUCGCGAGAUUCAAACGUCUAGGAGGGACAACCAUGGCUCCUCUCUUCUCUAGAAUCCAUACAUCCCUUAUCAAUAUAUGGACAGUUAUCUCUCGAGCACAGGUUUAGGCUCGGCCACAAUGGGAAAAUAAAACGGAGCACCUAACAAUGUAUCUUCAUAGACCAAGAACUACGAGAUUGCCCCUUUCAUUAUGGGGUGACAAAUGGAUCCUACCAUUCGAGCCUUUUUUUCAUGCUUUUCCUGGUGGUCUAGAGAAAGCUGCAAUCAAUAGGAUUUUCCAAAUCCUCCCUUCUCGAAAGGAAGAACAUGAAUUUUUUUUUCCUUUCCAUAGGGACCAGGAGAUUGGAUAUAGGCGUAAGAAGAAUGCUUGGCCAAUAAAUAAUUCACUUUUUGGUCUUCGACCACCUCAAUCACUAUGAAUGCCCCCCAUCAGUGCAAUGGGAUGUGUCUAUUUAUUUAUCUCUUGACUCAAAAUGGGAGCAAGUUUGUAUUUAUUUAUCUAUUGACUCAAAAUGGGAGCAAGUUUGAAAAAGGAUCUUAGAGUGUCUAGGGUUGGGCCAGGAGGGUCUCUUAACGCCUUCUUUUUUCUUCUCAUAAUAGUUAUUUCAGAAUGACUUGCCAUGGUAAGGAAAAAGCAAGGAACAAGCAUACUUGGAUAGCGUAGUACAAUAGAGAGUUGUAUACUGCGUUCAAGAAGGAUGAAUCACUUCCCAAAAGGAAUCUAUUGAUUCUAUUCCAAUUGGUUUAACCAUAGGUGUGAUGAUUUACUUCAUGGGUGAGGUCUCUGGUUCAAGUCCAGAGCUAGCUGGUUCUCCCCGAAAUGCUUUGAGGCUCAGCAAUGAACUGGACAUCUAGGGGUAAAGCACUGUUUCGGUGCGGCCGAGAGCGAUACCAAAUCGGGGCAAACUUUGAAUACUAUAUAUGACCUCAAAAUAAUAGGAGUUAAGGUUGGCCAGUGAGAUGAUGGGGGAUAAGCUUUAUCAUCGAGAAAGAAACAGCCUGAAUCACCAGCUAAGGUCCGUAAAUGACCGCUCAGUGAUAAAGGAGGUAGGGGUGCAGAGACAGCCAGGAGGUUUGCCUAGAAACAGCCACCCUUGAAAGGGUGCAUAAUAGCUCACUGAUCGAGUGCUCUUGCAUAGAAGAUGAAUAGGGCUAAGCAAUCUGCCAAGGCUGUGGGGUGUAAAAAUGCAUCGGUAGGGGAGUUUUCCACCUAGAGGGAAGCACCCGUGCAAGCAGUAGUAGACGAAGCAGAAGCAAGAAUCUCAGUUUGAGUAACACAAACAUUGGUGAGAAUCCAAUGCCCCAAAAACCUAAGGGUUCCUUCGCAAGGUUCUUCUACGGAGGGUGAGUUGGGGCCUAAGAUUAGGCCAGAAGGCAUAUUCGAUGGACAACAGGUGAAUAUUUCUGUACUACCCCUUGUUGGUCAUAAGGGAUACCUAGUCGAAAGAUGGUUAUCAGUUCAAGGACGUAAGGUGCCCCUACUUUUUUAGGGUAAAAAAGGGUAGAGAAAAUGCCCCAAGUCAAUGUUCGAGUACCAGGCACUACAGUGCUGAAGUAACCCAUGCCAUACUCCCAGGAAAAGCUCAAACGACCUUCAACAAAAGGGUACCUAUACCUAAAACCGACACAGGGUGGGUAGGUAGAGACUACCUAGGGGCGCGAGACAAUUUUCUCUAAGGAACUCAGCAAAAUAGCCCUGUAACUUUGGGAGAAAGGGUGCCUCCUUGCAAAGGAGAUCACAAUGACCAAGCCCAGACAACUGUUUACCAAAAACAUAGGUCUUCGCAAAGUCGCAAGACAAUGUAUGGGGGCUGACGCCUGCCCAGUGCUUGAAGCUCAAGGAAGUUGGUGACCUGAUAACAGGGGAGCCGACGACUAAAGCCCCGAUGAAAAGUGGCAGUAACUAUAACGGUCUUAAGGUAGUGAAAUUCCUUGUCAGGUAAGUUCCGACCCACACGAAAGGCGUAAUUAUCUGGGCACUAUCUUAGAAAGAGGCUUGGUGAAAUAGACAUGUCUGUGAAGUUGUGGACUACCUGUACCUAGACAAAAAGACCCCAUGAAGCUUCACUAUUCCCUGGGAUUGGCUUUGGGCCUUUCCUGUGCAGUUUAGGUUGAGGGCGAAGAAGGCCUCCUUCUGGGGGGGCCCGAGCUAUCAAUGAGAUACCACUCUGGAAGAGCUAGAAUUCUAACCUUAUGUCAAGACCUAUGGGCCAAGGGACAGUCUCAGGUAGACAGUUUCUAUGGGGCAUAGGCUUCCCAAAAGGUAACGGAGGCAUGCAAAGGUUUCCUUGGGCCACAUGGAGAUUGGCCCUCGAGUGCAAAGGCAGAAAGGAGCUUGACUACAAGACCUACCCGUCGAGCAUGGAUGAAAGUCAGCUUUAGUGAUCCGACAGUACGAGUGGAAGGGCCGUCGCUCAACGGAUAAAAGUUACUCUAAGGAUAACAAGCUGAUAUUCCCCAAGAGCUCACAUCAAUGGGAAAGUUUGGCUCCUCGAUGUCGGCUCUUUGUCACAUGGGGCUGUAGUAUGUUCAAAGGGUUGGUCUAUUAUCCCAUUAAAGCAAUACGUGAGCUAGGUUCAGAACGUCAUGAGACAGUUUGGUCCAUAUCUGGUGUGGGCGUUAGAGCAUUAAAAGGACCUUCCCUUAGUACGAGAGGACCGAGAAGGAUGCACCUCUAGUGUACCAGCUAUCAUGCCCACAGUAAACACUGGGUAGCCAAGUGCGGAGCAAAUAACUGCUGAAAGCAUCUAAGUAGUAAGCCCACCCCAAGAUGAGUGCUUUCCUAUUGUGACUUCCCAGAGCUCCCGGUAGCAUAGCCAAGACAACAAUGAGUUUUCUGCCCCGUGGGGGUGGAGCAACAGAAGUUUUGAGAAUUUAAGAGAAGGCCAUGGCGAGACGAGCCGUUUAUCAAUACGAUAAGUGUCAAAUGGAAGUGUAGUGAUGUAUGGAGCUGGGGCAUCGUAACAAACCGGUAGACUUAAAC
rnacentral:rRNA from 1 species